UACGUAGGUGGCAAGCGUUGUCCGGAUUUAUUGGGUUUAAAGGGUGCGUAGGCGGCUUUGUAAGUCAGUGGUGAAAUACGGUAGCUCAACUAUCGAGGUGCCAUUGAUACUGCGGAGCUUGAGUACAGAUGAGGUAGGCGGAAUUGACGGUGUAGCGGUGAAAUGCGUAGAUAUCGGAAGGAACACCUGUGGCGAAAGCGGCUCACUGGACCAUAACUGACGCUGAGGCGCGAAAGCUAGGGGAGCAAACAGG
rnacentral:rRNA from 1 species